GUGGGGAAUAUUGCACAAUGGGCGCAAGCCUGAUGCAGCAACGCCGCGUGAGGGAUGACGGCCUUCGGGUUGUAAACCUCUUUUGUCAAGGAAGAAGCCUUCGGGUGACGGUACUUGGAGAAAAAGCACCGGCUAACUACGUGCCAGCAGCCGCGGUAAUACGUAGGGUGCAAGCGUUGUCCGGAAUUAUUGGGCGUAAAGAGCUCGUAGGCGGCUUGUCGCGUCUGCCGUGAAAGCCCGAGGCUCAACCUCGGGUCUGCGGUGGGUACGGGCAGGCUAGAGUGCGGUAGGGGAGAUUGGAAUUCCUGGUGUAGCGGUGGAAUGCGCAGAUAUCAGGAGGAACACCGAUGGCGAAGGCAGAUCUCUGGGCCGUAACUGACGCUGAGGAGCGAAAGCAUGGGGAGCGAACAGGAUUAGAAACCCGAGUAGUCC
rnacentral:rRNA from 1 species